AGAGUUUGAUCCUGGCUCAGCGGCCGGGGGGGUGCUAUACAUGCAGUCGAACGAACUCUGGUAUUGAUUGGUGCUUGCAUCAUGAUUUACAUUUGAGUGAGUGGCGAACUGGUGAGUAACACGUGGGAAACCUGCCCAGAAGCGGGGGAUAACACCUGGAAACAGAUGCUAAUACCGCAUAACAACUUGGACCGCAUGGUCCGAGUUUGAAAGAUGGCUUCGGCUAUCACUUUUGGAUGGUCCCGCGGCGUAUUAGCUAGAUGGUGGGGUAACGGCUCACCAUGGCAAUGAUACGUAGCCGACCUGAGAGGGUAAUCGGCCACAUUGGGACUGAGACACGGCCCAAACUCCUACGGGAGGCAGCAGUAGGGAAUCUUCCACAAUGGACGAAAGUCUGAUGGAGCAACGCCGCGUGAGUGAAGAAGGGUUUCGGCUCGUAAAACUCUGUUGUUAAAGAAGAACAUAUCUGAGAGUAACUGUUCAGGUAUUGACGGUAUUUAACCAGAAAGCCACGGCUAACUACGUGCCAGCAGCCGCGGUAAUACGUAGGUGGCAAGCGUUGUCCGGAUUUAUUGGGCGUAAAGCGAGCGCAGGCGGUUUUUUAAGUCUGAUGUGAAAGCCUUCGGCUCAACCGAAGAAGUGCAUCGGAAACUGGGAAACUUGAGUGCAGAAGAGGACAGUGGAACUCCAUGUGUAGCGGUGAAAUGCGUAUAUAUAUGGAAGAACACCAGUGGCGAAGGCGGCUGUCUGGUCUGUAACUGACGCUGACGCUCGAAAGUAUGGGUAGCAAACAGGAUUAGAUACCCUGGUAGUCCAUACCGUACACGAUGAAUGCUAAGUGUUGGAGGGUUUCCGCCCUUCACUGCUGCAGCUAACGCAUUAAGCAUUCCGCCUGGGGAGUACUGCCGCAAGGCUGAAACUCAAAGGAAUUGACGGGGGCCCGCACAAGCGGUGGAGCAUGUGGUUUAAUUCGAAGCUACGCGAAGAAUCU
rnacentral:rRNA from 2 species